GACGAACGCUGGCGGCGUGCUUAACACAUGCAAGUCGAACGGUGAAGCGCCUUUCUUUUUGGUGGGUGUGGAGGAGUGGCGAACGGGAGAGUAACACGUGAGUAACCUGCCCCCUUCUUCUGCAUAACCGCAUGAAAGUGUGGCUAAUAUGGGAUCUCCUGUGUCUGUCGCAUGAUGGGUCUGGGUAAGCUAUUGUUUCGGUGGGGGAUGGGCUCGCGGCCUAUCAGCUUGUUGGUGGUGAGAUGGCCUACCAAGGGGGGGGGGGGUCGCAGGCAUGGGUGGAUGGACGGUCAGACUGGGAGUGAGGCUAGUGCAGGACUCCUAUGGGAGGCAGCAGAGGAGGAUAUUGCACAAUGGGCAAAAUCGUGCUACGGCGACGACGCGUGAGGGGUGGAGCCGUUCGGGUUGUGAACCUCUUUCGCCAGUGAAGCAAGUCUGCCUCGGAUGUGGGUGGAGUGACGGUAACUGGAUAAGAAGCGCCGGCUAACUACGUG
rnacentral:rRNA from 1 species